GAGACGAGUGGCGAACUGGUGAGUAACACGUGGGCCACCUGCCCUUGAAGUAGGGGAUAACACUUGGAAACAGGUGCUAAUACCGUAUAACAACCAAAACCACCUGGUUUUGGUUUAAAAGACGGCUUCGGCUGUCACUUUAGGAUGGACCCGCGGCGCAUUAGCUUGUUGGUAAGGUAACGGCUUACCAAGGCGAUGAUACGUAGCCGACCUGAGAGGGUAAUCGGCCACAUUGGGACUGAGACACGGCCCAAACUCCUACGGGAGGCAGCAGUAGGAAAUCUUCCACAAUGGACGAAAGUCUGAUGGAGCAACGCCGCGUGAGUGAUGAAGGGUUUCGGCUCGUAAAACUCUGUUGUUGGAGAAGAACAGGUGUCAGAGUAACUGUUGACAUCUUGACGGUAUCCAACCAGAAAGCCACGGCUAACUACGUGCCAGCAGCCGCGGUAAUACGUAGGUGGCAAGCGUUGUCCGGAUUUAUUGGGCGUAAAGCGAGCGCAGGCGGUUUUUUAGGUCUGAUGUGAAAGCCUUCGGCUUAACCGGAGAAGUGCAUCGGAAACCGGGAGACUUGAGUGCAGAAGAGGACAGUGGAACUCCAUGUGUAGCGGUGAAAUGCGUAGAUAUAUGGAAGAACACCAGUGGCGAAGGCGGCUGUCUGGUCUGUAACUGACGCUGAGGCUCGAAAGCAUGGGUAGCGAACAGGAUUAGAUACCCUGGUAGUCCAUGCCGUACACGAUGAAUGCUAGGUGUUGGAGGG
rnacentral:rRNA from 1 species